UCACUUGCUCACUGCCUGGAUCUGUUAAUCAUGAUACGAGAUGUAACCUGUACUUUGGAGAAGCAAGUCAUCCAGUAAAAACAACAACCAUCCGGAGGGAAAUGACCUCAACAAACCAGAAGUUCUGCCAGUUUACUGUCUCAAUAGAUGAUUUGUUGACACAUCUACGUUCUGUUCUGAGAAAGGAUGCCAGCUGUGAUUACACCUUGGGAAGUGAACCCAGCUCUUUGUCUCCUCGUAGUGACAGAAACAACUUGACUUAUAUUGUAGACAAAGAGUCAAGCAAGAUGCAGACAACGCCAACACUUACUAUGACCACAGGCCUGAAUGUUAAGACACCUCGUACUUCCACUCCUCUAACUCCUACACACUCAACAUC